UGGAAAAUACAGAAACAAAUGUGGUCAUUUAUAUGCAGCCUCAAUGUAUGACUCCUAUGAUAGUGCUUAAUUAAGAGAACCCAUACAGCAUGGACCAACUUUUAGUUAAAAACAUUAUCACUAGCAAAUGUAGAGAAUCAGAUCAAAUGAUCUUUUCAAAUUUAUGAAACAAUUGAUUUUGUAGUUUGGAGAAACCAAAAACAGAAAUAGAACAGUGGAAAAAAUACAAAUCACUGUACAAACAAGAAAUUGUCGUUUUUCUGUUGCACACAAUUGUAAUUAAGUUUGGUAAAAAGAUACAGUCAUCUGAUACAAUAUAACUCUUCCCCACAAAUUUAGAGAUCUUUUGAGAAAUUUUCAGACACAUGUAGCUUAGCUCACAAGAUUCUCAAUUAAAAUUAUCCUUCACAUAUACAUCCUAGCUUAGCUCACAAGAUUCUCAAUUAAAAUUAUCCUUCACAUACACAUCAUCCUAAUACACACAGAUUCUAUCAUGGCCAACCCAAAUGCCUGCUUGCAGUAAAAUGCCAAAGAACAGCAAUACUAUGAAAUGAUUACAUCCCUAUCAAAUAUGUAAGCAAACAAGGUUUUCAUUUUGAAUUAUUCCCUGAUUCUGGAGGACAAGAAGAAAGGAAAGGAUCUGACACAUUUUAUAACCACAUCUAUUGGGGGUAAUAAGACAUGUGCAAUGCAUGUUCUAAGAAAAAUAACAGACACUUUGCAACAGAAGUACGAUGUGUUAAUGGUGAUAACUGCAGCAUAGAUGGACAGAAAUGUGAUGUAAAAAGCACACUAAGCAUCCCUCCCUGCUACAUGAGCGAAGGUAGGAAACAUCGCCCCAGUAAAAGAAUAUCUUCUUUUUCCCCAGUCCAAGCAACUAAGUACUUAUGCAUGUAUAUUCAUCCCGGCCAUGGUUUAAAACUAAUUACUUACCCACAGUGAUGACUAAGAAGAUAUCAGAUCUUGAGAACCUUUAACACUUGUGUAGCAAAAGUGUUGUGAAUUAUAUAGUUCAGAGUUGUAGCAUAUUGCUUAGUUAAUUUACCUAGCUAACACUGACCACAAUUAACUAGAAGCUCGAAAGUUUGUGGGAAUUUAUCGGUAUCCAGUAGUUUAUUUACCUUGUUAACAAUGACCACAGUUAAUGAGAAGCUGGAAAGUUUGUGGGCAUUUGUCAGAAGAGCAAUUUCUGAGCACAAGUAUCAGUGCAUUAGCAGACAUUUUGAAAAAAUAUAGUCAGGAUUAAGCAGCCCAUUUACUUGCUAUGAUGGCACGGUUGCUCAAAACAUCAAGGAUAUGGAUGAAAUUUUCUUUUAGGAGUGCUGCAUGCACAAUGGUAAGUCACCUGCUCUGCGUUCGUAUGUUGCCUCCAUCCAUAUAUCCAAUCUUGUAAUAACAAAGUUCUGCUUCUUAGUUUGUACAGUUCGUACCAAACAUCUUUCAGUAUAACUAGGAUGAUUACCACAUUACCCUUUUACAGCAUAUUACAGCGCUUAGACGACCAACAUAUUAUGUUAGCAUAUAAGUAACUCUGGAUGAGGAUACAUAUAACAUAAUUCAUAGUCAUGGAUUCAUUAUACAGCCAAAAAAAAAUUCACGAAGCUAUUAAAAAUACGUCCAAAUGAUUUAUUUAAGAAACUUUCGGAAUUUAAGGCCCCCUUGUAGAAUAAGAUCUUUAUUUAGCUUGUAAGUAAGAGUUCCAUCCUGAAAAGAAUCUAUUGAGAGGUCAAGAGAAUGGUUAGGUGCAAACACUGCAACAUGUGUACUGCACUAGAAAUAUAUCCUUUACAGCACAAUUUGCACUGAAUAUUUCAACUUAAAAUUGAGGGCUAAAUGUAAUGCCUAACUGUAUUCACAUUAACCAUUCAGGUCUCUCCUGAUCUCUUAUCACCAUCAAUUAGCUCGACAAUCGAACAAACGAAGAGAAAUAAGCAACCGAUGCGUUCAAUCCUAGACAGCACUACACCAACAUGGAACCCCCUUAUCCAAUCCAAUUAGCACGGAAAAUCAAGCAACACAGGCGAUUCUCGAAGGGGAGUUAACUACCUG
rnacentral:lncRNA from 1 species